ACCGACGACGGCGACUACGGCGUCAAGCUGCGCAACCUGGUCCGCUUCCUGAACGACGGCGACAAGGCCAAGGUGACGCUGCGUUUCCGCGGUCGCGAAAUGGCUCACCAGGACAUCGGCCUGGCCCUGCUCAAGCGGGUAGAGGCGGAUCUGGCCGAAGUUGGCACGGUCGAGCAGUUCCCGCGCCUGGAAGGUCGCCAGAUGGUAAUGAUGAUUGCCCCGAAAAAGAAAUAAUCGGGUAUAAUCAGCGGUUUGACACGGCAGGUUCGCCUGCCGUGUUGAUUUUGUGGCGUUUAGGCGCUGCAACAAAAA
rnacentral:misc_RNA from 1 species